GACAGAGGCCCCGAGCGUUAGUCGGAAUUACUGGGCGUAAAGCGUGCGUAGACGGUUACAUAAGUCGGGUGUGAAAGCCCCGGGCUCAACCUGGGAAUUGCAUUCGAGACUGCGUAGCUAGGGUGCGGAAGAGGGAAGCGGAAUUUCCGGUGUAGCGGUGAAAUGCGUAGAUAUCGGAAGGAACACCAGUGGCGAAAGCGGCUUCCUGGUCCAGCACCGACGUUCAGGCACGAAAGCGUGGGGAGCAAACAGG
rnacentral:rRNA from 1 species